rnacentral:misc_RNA from 1 species
UUUCCGUAGGUGAACCUGCGGAAGGAUCAUUCAUAAUAAGUGUUUUAUGGCACUUUUUAAAAAUCCAUAUCCACCUUGUGUGCAAUGUUAGAUCUCGUCAAUCUUGGCGAGAUUUUUAUACAUCAACUCAUUCUUUAACUAAUAUGUCUGAAAAAUAUUAUGAAUACUUAAUUCAAAAUACAACUUUCAACAACGGAUCUCUUGGCUCUC